CUUCUACUCCCUCCGUUCGAAAUUACUUGUCUCGAAAAUGGAUGUAUCUAGAACUAAAAUACAUCUAGAUACAUCCAUUUCCGCGACAAGUAAUUCCGAAUGGAGGGAGUACCAA
rfam:Triticum aestivum genome assembly, contig: Triticum_aestivum_CS42_TGACv1_scaffold_471485_6AL